rnacentral:rRNA from 1 species
CCUACGGGAGGCAGCAGUGAGGAAUAUUGGUCAAUGGGCGCGAGCCUGAACCAGCCAAGCAGCGUGCAGGAUGACUGCCCUACGGGUUGUAAACUUCUUUUAUAAAGGAGUAAAGUGAGGCACGUGUGUCUUUUUGUAUGUACUUUAUGAAUAAGGAUCGGCUAACUCCGUUCCAGCAGCCGCGGUAAUACGGUGGAUCCGAGCGUUAUCCGGAUUUAUUGGGUUUAAAGGGAGCGUAGAUGGGUUGUUAAGUCAGUUGUGAAAGUCUGCGGCUCAACCCUAAAAUUGCAAUUGAUACUGGCAGUCUUGAGUACAGUUGAGGUAGGCGGAAUUCGUGGUGUAGCGGUGAAAUGCUUAGAUAUCACGAAGAACUCCGAUUGCGAAGGCAGCUUACUAAACUGCCACUGACAUUGAUGCUCGAAAGUGUGGGUAGCAAACAGGAUUAGAUACCCCUGUAGUC